AGAUAGUACUUUUCAAAAAAAUCUAUUUAUUUUGGCGGCAUUUUAUCUUAUUAGAGGAACUUGUUUCAUAAUCGAUAUUCCACGAUAAAUUUCACUUUAAAAAAAAUCUGUAUACCGCCAUUUAUAAGAAUUAAUUAAAAACUUUUAUUCAAAAUAAUAAAUAAUAAAUUAGGUCAAGGUGCAAUUUAUAUUAAAGAAGAAAUGAGUUACUUUAAAAAUAAUUUAUAAAAAAUACAAAUAUAUUUAAAAAAGAAUUUAAAAGUAAUAAAAUAAUAAUAUUAUUUUAUGAAUAAGAUAAUAAAUGUGC
rnacentral:rRNA from 1 species